rnacentral:miRNA from 1 species
UCACAGUGGUUAUAUACUGC